GAUGAACGCUGGCGGCGUGCCUAAUACAUGCAAGUCGAGCGAACAGAUGAGGAGCUUGCUCCUCUGACGUUAGUGGCGGACGGGUGAGUAACACGUGGAUAACCUACCUAUAAGACUGGGAUAACUUCGGGACACCGGAGCUAAUACCGGAUAAUAUAUUGAACCGCAUGGUUCGAUAGUGAAAGACGGUUUUGCUGUCACUUAUCGAUGGAUCCGCGCCGCAUUAGCUAGUUGGUAAGGUAACGGCUUACCAAGGCAACGAUGCGUAGCCGACCUGAGAGGGUGAUCGGCCACACUGGAGCUGAGACACGGUCCAGACUCCUACGGGAGGCAGCAGUAGGGAAUCUUCCGCAAUGGGCGAAAGCCUGACGGAGCAACGCCGCGUGAGUGAUGAAGGUCUUCGGAUCGUAAAACUCUGUUAUUAGGGAAGAACAAAUGUGUAAGUAACUAUGCACGUCUUGACGGUACCUAAUCAGAAAGCCACGGCUAACUACGUG
rnacentral:rRNA from 1 species